AAAAGUCGUAACAAGGUUUCCGUAGGUGAACCUGCGGAAGGAUCAUUAAUGAGUUGUGAUGGGGUUGAUGCCNNNNUGGCAGCCAAUUUUUUGGGUGCANNNNNNNUGUGCUCGCCCUGCCAAUCAUCUUCCAAACACCUGUGCACAUUUUUGAGGGAGUUUCGAGUCGAUUGCUGCCUUUUGGCGAUUUUCUUGAAUUCCCUNAAAUCAUUAUACGCUGUUAGCAAAUGUUGAACGUGCUUUGUGCCGCAAGGCCAUUAAUAUAAUACAACUUUUAACAACGGAUCUCUUGGCUCUCGCAUCGAUGAAGAACGCAGCGAAAUGCGAUAAGUAAUGUGAAUUGCAGAAUUCAGUGAAUCAUCGAAUCUUUGAACGCACCUUGCGCUCCCUGGUAUUCCGGGGAGCACGCCUGUUCGAGUGUCGUGAAAUUUCUCAAAGCUUGGAUGGCCUUUUUUUGUCUGUCCUUAGCCUUGGUUGUUGGGCUUUGCCGUGUCCUGUAUUGGGGACGGCUGGGCCUUAAAAACAUUAGCUGAUCCUUGUGCGGCACUGGUUCUACUCAGCGUGAUAAUAGUCUGAUCGCUGAGGACGUCUUUUGGGAUGGCCAGUGCUCAUUUGGGUUGCUUAUAGACCUGGUCUUGCAGAUUCUUCAAUCUGUGGUUCCACUUUUCAGCUUUGACCUCGAAUCAGGNGGGACUACCCGCUGAACUUAAGCAUAUCAAUAAGCGGAGGAAAAGAAACUAACAAGGAUUCCCCUAGUAACGGCGAGUGAAGCGGGAAGAGCUCAAUUUAAAAUCUGGCAAUCUUUGGUUG
rnacentral:rRNA from 1 species